GACGAACGCUGGCGGCGUGCCUAAUACAUGCAAGUCGAACGAGCGCGACCGGUGCUUGCACUGGUCAAUCUAGUGGCGAACGGGUGAGUAACACGUGGGUAACCUGCCCAUCAGAGGGGGAUAACAUCCGGAAACGGAUGCUAAAACCGCAUAGGUCUUCGAACCGCAUGGUUUGAAGAGGAAAAGAGGCGCAAGCUUCUGCUGAUGGAUGGACCCGCGGUGCAUUAGCUAGUUGGUGAGGUAACGGCUCACCAAGGCCGUGAUGCAUAGCCGACCUGAGAGGGUGAUCGGCCACAUUGGGACUGAGACACGGCCCAAACUCCUACGGGAGGCAGCAGUAGGGAAUCUUCCGCAAUGGACGCAAGUCUGACGGAGCAACGCCGCGUGAGUGAAGAAGGUUUUCGGAUCGUAAAACUCUGUUGUUAGAGAAGAACAAGUGCUAGAGUAACUGUUAGCGCCUUGACGGUAUCUAACCAGAAAGCCACGGCUAACUACGUG
rnacentral:rRNA from 1 species